GCAAUUGUUGUUCAAAUGUAAGUUUAAUGGAUAAUGUAGACAUUUAUAGAAUCCAUCACCUACUUGUACAUAUCAUUUGUGGAUAGGGCUUAUUAUAUUUCAAAGAAAAGAUCAAUAUACAAAACAUUUACAACUGUGAUCAGCUUUUGCAACUAUGGCACUUGUAUUGAACUGGCUUGUCAUGUUGAUGACUGUUCAUGAUAUUUGUGCUUCAUUGUGCUAUACUGCUUACAAGGAAAAGGUUGGACGGGUUGUGUUUGGUGAAGCGAGUGGAGAAUCAGCCAACGUACAGUUAGAGGUUGCAUUUACUAUUGUGAACAGAAUUAACCAUGUCGGAUUCCCAAAUUCAUUAGAUGGAGUUGUAGACCAGACAUAUAAAUCGGGAGAGAAAAUGUAUCAUCAUUAUAACACAUUAGAUUAUUUUAGUCACGACCUAAGAUGGAAAGCCUCAAAAGCACCUGACGCAAAAGAGCAUGCUGCGUAUAUUUCUGCUAUAACUCAAGCCGAGCAUGCGCUUUGUGCGACAAAGUCUGAUCCUAUGAGUUGCGGUCCGGUCAAUUUCUGUGCCACAAAUCCGUGUGCCUCUACUAACAGUAAUAAGUAUUGGUGUGUGACCGAGAAAAAACAGAUCGGAUCUUAUUGGUUUACUUGCAUCAAGAAAAAAACAGGAAGAUGCUGAACUUUGAAAUCAAAAAUUGUCUUAUCUUGAGUUUUUAAUUUGAGAUAAAUAAAAAAUAAUCAAAAUUG